rnacentral:sRNA from 1 species
UAAUCUGGAUACUUGCUAAGAUACACGGU